AAUAAAGUGGCCGAAAACAAGCUAAAGAUUGUAAAUCUUUCCAUGGGUAUUCCCCUUUAUUA
rnacentral:tRNA from 1 species